GCCCGGUUAGCUCAAUCGGUAGAGCGUGAGACUCUUAAUCUCAAGGUUGCGGGUUCGACCCCGCAUUGGGCU
rnacentral:tRNA from 1 species